UUUACAGAGCCUGUUUGACAUACUGGCCACCUCCAUUUCCAAGCUAGGUAACAAGUAUUAGUGGAGGUGGACAGAAUGCCAAAUUGGCUCUGCAAC
rfam:Gossypium arboreum cultivar AKA8401 contig_4404_3, whole genome shotgun sequence.